AACGAACGCUGGCGGCGCGCUUAACACAUGCAAGUCGAACGCACACUUUCGGGUGUGAGUGGCGGACGGGUGAGUAACGCGUGGGAACCUGCCCUGAGGUUCGGGACAACCGUGGGAAACCGCGGCUAAUACCGGAUAUCUCCUACGGGAGAAAGACUUGUCGCCUUGGGAGGGGCCCGCGUCGGAUUAGCUUGUUGGUGGGGUAAUGGCCUACCAAGGCAUCGAUCCGUAGCUGGUCUGAGAGGAUGAUCAGCCACACUGGGACUGAGACACGGCCCAGACUCCUACGGGAGGCAGCAGUGGGGAAUCUUGGACAAUGGGGGCAACCCUGAUCCAGCGACGCCGCGUGGGUGACGAAGGCCUUCGGUUGUAAGACCUUUCUUCGGGGAAGAUGAUGACGGUACCCGACGGAAUAAGCACCGGCUAACU
rnacentral:rRNA from 1 species